UGGGGAAUUGUUCGCAAUGGGCGAAAGCCUGACGACGCAACGCCGCGUGGAGGAUGAAGGUCUUCGGAUUGUAAACUCCUGUUGCCCGGGACGAAUGGCCCGCGCGUGAACAACGCGUGGGAAUGACGGUACCGGGUGAGGAAGCCCCGGCUAACUCUGUGCCAGCAGCCGCGGUAAUACAGAGGGGGCGAGCGUUGUUCGGAAUUACUGGGCGUAAAGGGCGCGUAGGCGGCCCGCUAAGUCAGACGUGAAAUCCCUCGGCUCAACCGAGGAACUGCGUCUGAGACUGGUGGGCUCGAAUCCGGGAGAGGGAUGCGGAAUUCCAGGUGUAGCGGUGAAAUGCGUAGAUAUCUGGAGGAACACCGGUGGCGAAGGCGGCAUCCUGGACCGGCAUUGACGCUGAGGCGCGAAAGCCAGGGGAGCAAACGGG
rnacentral:rRNA from 1 species